AUGCUCGCUUCAGCAGCACAUACACUAAAAUUUGAACAACACAUAGAAGAUCAGCAUGGCUCCUGCACAAGGAUGAUAUGCAAAUUCAUGAAGCGUUCAUAUUUUUC